UUCCCGAAGCCUCCCAUUUCUA
rnacentral:miRNA from 1 species